rnacentral:tRNA from 1 species
GCCCCAGAGGCCUAGUGGAUCAGGCACUGGCCUCCUAAGCCAGGGACUGUGCGUUCAAUUCCCACUUGGGGUA